rnacentral:rRNA from 1 species
UACGUAGGCAGCAAGCGUUGUUCGGAGUUACUGGGCGUAAAGAGUGCGUAGGUGGUGCCCUAAGUCUGUUGUGAAAUCUCCCGGCUUAACUGGGAGGGUGCGGUGGAAACUGGGGUGCUUGAGUGUGGGAGAGGUAAGCGGAAUUCCUGGUGUAGCGGUGAAAUGCGUAGAGAUCAUGAGGAAGACCAGUGGCGAAGGCGGGUCUCUGGACAGUUCCUGACACUGAGGCACGAAGGCCAGGGGAGCAAACGGG